ACGGGAGGCAGCAGUGGGGAAUAUUGCACAAUGGGGGAAACCCUGAUGCAGCGACGCCGCGUGAGUGAAGAAGUAUUUCGGUAUGUAAAGCUCUAUCAGCAGGAAAGAAAAUGACGGUACCUGACUAAGAAGCACCGGCUAAAUACGUGCCAGCAGCCGCGGUAAUACGUAUGGUGCAAGCGUUAUUCGGAUUUACUGGGUGUAAAGGGAGCGUAGACGGCAUGGCAAGUCUGAAGUGAAAUGCGGGGGCUCAACCCCUGAACUGCUUUGGAAACUGUCAAGCUAGAGUGUCGGAGAGGUAAGUGGAAUUCCUAGUGUAGCGGUGAAAUGCGUAGAUAUUAGGAGGAACACCAGUGGCGAAGGCGGCUUACUGGACGAUAACUGACGUUGAGGCUCGAAAGCGUGGGGAGCAAACAGGAUUAGAUACCCUGGUA
rnacentral:rRNA from 1 species